GCCAUGUAGAAGCCGGCUGCAGGGUGGGUGUGGCCCACUGCUCAUCAUUUACCACCGCCGAGCCUUACCUUAGGUGCCAAAUGCUUGAGAUGGAACAUUGCUGAGAUGGUUAUAAGGCCUGGCCCAGCAGUGCAGCCAAGGACAGUGCUGGAAUGACCAGCUCUGGGCUCCUGAGGAGCUUGCCUGUGACUCAGACCAUGCCCUGGUGGCCAGGGCCCAGCACGUGGUGACUUUUGAUGGCUGAGUGUGGGACCUCAGCAUCCAGUGUGGCAGCAUCCUCCUGGCCCAACACUUCACUCACAACACAUUCUCACUCAUGCUGAGUCGGACAGGCUUGGGGCUCAUGGCCCUGACAGUGGAGCUUAACCAUGUGACCCUCAUCUACUCCAGCCUUCAGGCAUACAGGCUGUACAACUCCUCCCUGCCAGGGGAUACCUGUCCAGACCUCCAGCUGCCUUUUGCCAUGAAAAGAAGGGAUGUCCCCAGGAUUGAGCUGGCUAGUGAGGAUGGGGUCUCCAUCUUCUGUGAUGUGCCCACCGGCCUCUGCAGCCUGACUUUGUGCCUCUGGCACCAUGUCAUAUCCGCUGGCCUUCUGGACACCAUGGACAAUGAAGCAGGCACUGAUCUGAUGUUGCCGGACGGCUCUGUGGCCCACAGCCUGGAGGAGCUCAGCCUGGCCUGGAGGGUGGAUGGUGACUGCAGGGCCACCGAGAAGACUCAGCCAACCUGUUCAGGACAGAGCCCCGCCUGCUGGGCCUUCUUUUAGAAUCCCCCAUUCAGCUUGGGGAACUGCCUCUGGGUGGCUGUAAAGAAGACAUAGCCCUGGCAUAUGCUUCUGGGGAGGCCUCUGGAAGUCUACAAUCAUGGCAGAAGAUGAAGCAGAAUCUUGCACAUCACAGGACAAAAAGCAGGAGCAAAAAACAAAGGA
rnacentral:lncRNA from 13 species